CAUGUACCAGUGGGGUCCUUUGGCCUGGCCUGCGCCCUCUCACUCCAGGACCCCUCAGGAAAUGUUGAAGAGCCGAUUUCACCUGAUCCUGCAGGCCAGGCUAAGGGACCCCACUGGUGCACA
rnacentral:pre_miRNA from 1 species